rnacentral:rRNA from 1 species
GAUGAACGCUGGCGGCGUGCUUAACACAUGCAAGUCGAACGUGAGAGGGUAGCAAUAUCCUUGAAAGUGGCGCACGGGUGAGUAAUACGUAGGUAACCUGCCCUGGAGUGGGGGAUAGCAACGGGAAACGGUUGCUAACACCGCAUAAUACCGGACACGAGGGAUUGGGACUGGUAAAAACUCUGGUGCUUCAGGAGGGGCCUGCGGCCGAUUAGCGAGUUGGCGGGGUAAGAGCCCACCAAGGCAGUGAUCGGUAGCUGGUCUGAGAGGACGAUCAGCCACACGGGAACUGAGACACGGUCCCGACUCCUACGGGGGGCAGCAGUGAGGAAUAUUGGGCAAUGGGCGGAAGCCUGACCCAGCAACGCCGCGUGGAGGAAGACGGCCUUCGGGUUGUAAACUCCUUUUACGGGGGAAGAGGAAGGACGGUACCCCGAGAAUAAGUCACGGCUAACUACGUGCCAGCAGCCGCGGUAACAC